rnacentral:rRNA from 1 species
UGAAGUCGGAAUUGCUAGUAAUCGCGGAUCAGCAUGCCGCGGUGAAUACGUUCCCGGGCCUUGUACACACCGCCCGUCACACCAUGGGAGUCGGUAACACCCGAAGCCUGUAGUCUAACCGCAAGGGGACGCAGUCGAAGGUGGGAUUGAUGACUGGGGUGAAGUCGUAACAAGGUAGC